rnacentral:piRNA from 1 species
UGCAACCCAAGAGGAGGCCACAACUGAUC